rnacentral:lncRNA from 12 species
CAAGAAUCAGACUUUUACAAGCCACCAUGAUUGAGGACCUGGGAUUAGUUUGCAGUGAGUUUGUGGAUGACUUAAGCCAUUUCUAUUUUCUUUGCAGCUAUUUCCCAUAUCUCACAAAUGAAAGCUGCCAGACAUGCCUGACAAAUGAAGUGCCAGUGCCAAAUAAUAUGUGGUCAUUCUCCAGAGCUCGGAUCACUCCUCUGCUCUGCGCUGGAGCUUUUCCAGCUGAUCUUCCUGUCCUUUUUUGAUGUGUGGUGCUCCCAGCCCAGGAGCUGUGCCAGCUGGAGUGGUGUGAGCAGCCUGGCAGGUGAUCCAUCCUCCCCCACCAAACAACCAGGAGAUACCAAGCAGGGGCUGCUGCCUG